UACGUAGGGGGCGAGCGUUGUCCGGAAUUAUUGGGCGUAAAGGGCGCGUAGACGGCUAAGUAAGUUAUAGGUGAAAGCCCAUCUUUCAAGGAUGGAAUUGCCUGUAAUACUGCAUAGCUUGAGUGCAGGAGAGGGAAGCGGAAUUCCUAGUGUAGCGGUGAAAUGCGUAGAUAUUAGGAGGAACACCAGUGGCGAAGGCGGCUUUCUGGACUGUAACUGACGUUGAGGCGCGAAAGCGUGGGGAGCAAACAGG
rnacentral:rRNA from 1 species